GAUGAACGCUAGCGGCAGGCCUAACACAUGCAAGUCGAGGGAGAGGUUACCUUCGGGUAACCAAAACCGGCGCACGGGUGCGUAACGCGUAUACAAUCUGCCUUUCACAUAGGGAUAGCCCGAAGAAAUUUGGAUUAAUACCUAAUGGUAUAUAAGAGCGGCAUCGUUUUUAUAUUAAAGCUACGGUGGUGAAAGAUGAGUAUGCGUUCUAUUAGCUAGUUGGAGAGGUAACGGCUCCCCAAGGCGACGAUAGAUAGGGGUUCUGAGAGGGAUGUCCCCCACACUGGUACUGAGAUACGGACCAGACUCCUACGGGAGGCAGCAGUGAGGAAUAUUGGACAAUGGUCGGAAGACUGAUCCAGCCAUGCCGCGUGCAGGAGGAAGGUCCUAUGGAUUGUAAACUGCUUUUGGAAGGGAAGAAUAAGGAGUACGUGUACUUUGAUGACGGUACCUUACGAAUAAGCAUCGGCUAACUCCGUG
rnacentral:rRNA from 1 species